rnacentral:lncRNA from 1 species
ACCUACUAUGUGCACACAACACCUCAUCUUUAAAAUGUGGACAUUAACACUGAUCUCACUGAUCUUCUAAUGAAGUAGAAAAUUCCAGGUGUUUUUGUACCAAUGCAGUAUGGAAACUUCAGCCCGACAUUUGAAAUAUGUCCUUUUAAUUAUACCCAAAGAAUACUAGAAAACAGGUGUGUUGUCUCUUCUCUUUGGUUCUCUUUUUCUUUGAAACAUUGGCUUUCUUUUUCACUAAGAAACAAAAGAGUUGUCUGAUCCUGAAGGUAUAGGACCUGCAGAAAAUGCUAGUGAAUUCCUAGCCUGAUAGGGAUGACUUUAUCCUUCAACCUGCAAGGUUUUCCGUCUCCAUUUUCAGCCUCUUACCUCU